rnacentral:rRNA from 1 species
GAUGAACGCUAUCUACAGGCUUAACACAUGCAAGUCGAGGGGCAGCAUGGUCUUAGCUUGCUAAGGCCGAUGGCGACCGGCGCACGGGUGAGCAACACGUAUCCAACCUGCCGUCUACUCUUGGACAGCCUUCUGAAAGGAAGAUUAAUACAAGAUGGCAUCAUGAGUCCGCAUGUUCACAUGAUUAAAGGUAUUCCGGUAGACGAUGGGGAUGCGUUCCAUUAGAUAGUAGGCGGGGUAACGGCCCACCUAGUCUUCGAUGGAUAGGGGUUCUGAGAGGAAGGUCCCCCACAUUGGAACUGAGACACGGUCCAAACUCCUACGGGAGGCAGCAGUGAGGAAUAUUGGUCAAUGGGCGAGAGCCUGAACCAGCCAAGUAGCGUGAAGGAUGACUGCCCUAUGGGUUGUAAACUUCUUUUAUAAAGGAAUAAAGUCGGGUAUGGAUACCCGUUUGCAUGUACUUUAUGAAUAAGGAUCGGCUAACUCCGUGCCAGCAGCCGCGGUAAUACGGAGGAUCCGAGCGUUAUCCGGAUUUAUUGGGUUUAAAGGGAGCGUAGAUGGAUGUUUAAGUCAGUUGUGAAAGUUUGCGGCUCAACCGUAAAAUUGCAGUUGAUACUGGAUAUCUUGAGUGCAGUUGAGGCAGGCGGAAUUCGUGGUGUAGCGGUGAAAUGCUUAGAUAUCACGAAGAACUCCGAUUGCGAAGGCAGCCUGCUAAGCUGCAACUGACAUUGAGGCUCGAAAGUGUGGGUAUCAAACAGGAUUAGAUACCCUGGUAGUCCACACGGUAAACGAUGAAUACUCGCUGUUUGCGAUAUACAGCAAGCGGCCAAGCGAAAGCGUUAAGUAUUCCACCUGGGGAGUACGCCGGCAACGGUGAAACUCAAAGGAAUUGACGGGGGCCCGCACAAGCGGAGGAACAUGUGGUUUAAUUCGAUGAUACGCGAGGAACCUUACCCGGGCUUAAAUUGCAGAUGAAUUACGGUGAAAGCCGUAAGCCGCAAGGCAUCUGUGAAGGUGCUGCAUGGUUGUCGUCAGCUCGUGCCGUGAGGUGUCGGCUUAAGUGCCAUAACGAGCGCAACCCUUGUUGUCAGUUACUAACAGGUUCCGCUGAGGACUCUGACAAGACUGCCAUCGUAAGAUGUGAGGAAGGUGGGGAUGACGUCAAAUCAGCACGGCCCUUACGUCCGGGGCUACACACGUGUUACAAUGGGGGGUACAGAGGGCCGCUACCACGCGAGUGGAUGCCAAUCCCCAAAACCUCUCUCAGUUCGGAUUGGAGUCUGCAACCCGACUCCACGAAGCUGGAUUCGCUAGUAAUCGCGCAUCAGCCACGGCGCGGUGAAUACGUUCCCGGGCCUUGUACACACCGCCCGUCAAGCCAUGGGAGCCGGGGGUACCUGAAGUGCGUAACCGCGAGGAGCGCCCUAGGGUAAAACUGGUGACUGGG